CGAGGAAGCGCCCACCGGGCUCCCGGGGCUGCCAGGCCCCAAAUUGAGGAAGUUGACUGCCAGAUCACACUCUGUUGGCCCACGCAGAUAGAUUCCAUUCAUCCUUUCUAAUGUCUACACCAUAUUUUGGAUAACAUGCCAUCAUCUCACAUUGUGUUGAAAGAAGAAACCAGAAUGUUGGGGUUGAUGUAUGCCAUAUGGAUGAAUUUAAACAGUUUCGGCCUUGCAAUAAUUGGUAUACUUCUAAUUGCAUGUGAAAUUAUACUCUUUUUAACGAAAGAUGAAACUAUUCAGUGGCCACAUGUAAGUAAAUAUUAUGGAUAUGAAAAUUGAAAUGGAAAAAAAAGAUGAACAUAUGGUCAUUGGCUAAAUGUGCAUGGGAUUCCUAGUUGCUUAAAGUUAGAAACCUAUAUAUACCGGAACGGGGGAGACGAUACACUAACACUUCAGGAUGUCAAAGACCUGAUGGAAUUAGGACAAAGAAAGGAAGUCCCACUUUUUUCAAAUUUUAAAAAUGACAGGAUAGUUAGGACAGAUAUCUGCAGUUCAGAAUUUUUACACUCAUAAGCAUUAUUGGCAUUUUGGUCAUUUUAGGACUACCCUUAAUAUUUUAUGCCACCAGGUGUAUUGCAUGCCUUAUGCAGAAGGAAAGUCUUAAGAAUUCUGAGACCUAUCAAGCGUACAUAUCUCUAUUUCAAAUCCUGCUUAUGCUUUAUUGAUGUGACAGCUCAGUACAUAUCUGGAAGUUUUGUUUUUAUAGGCUAUAGGAGUAAAUAAGAACACUUUAAAUACUUGAUUGAGUAACUAGCUGGUAGGUCUUGGAGGAUAUCACUCAUAUGCACAAACACAAAAGAUAUAGAGCAAAGGCCUAAGACAUCACAGUAUGUUCAAAGGUCAGCCUGUCCUACUCCCUGGAAGUUUAUUUUGUCACACAUCAUGGGCAGAACCCUAUCAAGCAAAUUUAAUGACAAGGAGGUUGAAGUAUGAUGGCUUUCCAUACCUAAAGCUAUUAUAGAGGUCAAAUAAGAACUAAAGCCCUAUAGGGGAAAAUAGAGUAUGAAAAAAACCUCUAUAUGAGUUUUUUUUAUUUCAGUUCCUAAGUUUUUCUUCAACACCAAUACUGAAAUAUGCCAUACUAGAACUCAUACUCUACAAUCUCAGUUGCUAGCAUUGUUUGUACCUAACAGAUUCAUUCCCAAAUGCAAGAAGUCCGAGGAUUAGUAAAUAUGCUAUUCUGGCUGAGGGGUCAGACACAGCAAGCUCUGAGGCCUUUCCUUACGGCAGACCAAUUUGGAAAUUACAGGAUAUCAGUUCCUUUCCUCCCAGGAGGCUCUUGGCAUCUGUGAAAACUUGCCUAUAUUAUUGCCAACAAGAAUCUUUGUUUACCAAAAGCUACCAGGAUGAGCAGGCUUUCUCAGGCAUUCCACAACUAUUCUUCUGAAGAAACCACUCAAGUGUUCAGGAAAGAAUCAGAAAAUAUCUGCCCAAGUAACUUUCUAAAUCUUUCAAGACAGUGAAAUGGCUAGCAGCUUCUCUUGCUAACAACAGGUUCAAUUUCUCUUCUUUCUCCACAAGCACACAGCUACAUUUAUUUUAUAAUAAAUGUAUUUGUAUAAU
rnacentral:lncRNA from 1 species